AUUGUUCAGAGGCAGAACUUUUCUUGACGUGAUAAAUAGUCCAUAAGGGCAUGGAAAGUUUAAGGGAGGGUGCAUUGCUGCAGGUGGAAAGAGUCUUUGUAUAACAUAGGAAAUUAAUAGUGUAAUGUAUAACUUAGCUUUGAUGAUCUCAUAAGCAUGCCUGUUAAUCAUUGUCACUUGCUGUACUCCAUUGUUGUUUGCUGUGCUCACUUCAAUAAAAGCCAGAAGGCAUCAGAGGGUCUUUGCUACACGCCUGAGCGAGCGGUAGCCCUCUGCUCUACUUCAUCCUAGACGCCAAGCUUGCCUCAGUGUCUCCGGUCACUAAGAACAUCAACAAAUGGCGCCUGAACAGAUCAGGGACCCGAAGGUGGGGUCGAGGCUAUGCUUAUGUUUCCACAGGAACUAAGAAGUCCUGGAUUCCUGAUCAAAGAAUCAAAUUAAGGCAAUUAAGGCGAGCAAGAGGAAGUGUGACGAAGCGGGACUGGAAGACCGGUUUGCGCAGCUAACCAUCCAGAGAGGACAAACAAUUUGCGUGCCGUUGCCUCGCACCCGAAACACUCCUCCACCUGCCUGGGGACAGGUGAAGCCCCUAUGCCAGGAAGGGGAACGUCUUGUGACUGCCCAUGGAAGGCCCUGUAACUAAUAACUCUAAUUGGAUGCCUGGACUUUUUAAAGAUCGUGGGCCAUUGAAACCAGAUGAAGAAGGAACAAGAAUGAACAACUACUCGACAGGAGUUAUUGGAAUGCCUGUGUGUCUGGGACUGAGUGAUCAUUGUUUACAAUUGGGUAAUCAAGCCUGGUUAAGUAUGGCAAAAAACACCACUAAUCUUGGGAAACGCCAUAAUUUAUUCAUACUUUCUGCCCAAGGAUUGAGAGGAAAUGAAAGUGACAGGACAGACAUGCCUCCAACUUUACCUGUGUGUCAAAUGCCUAUUCAUACACACUCACUAGAGUAGGUCCAAUGGACUCGGUGUAGAGGGGAUAAGGCACGUGUUCUUGUUAAUAAUCCAUAUGGGAGAAUUAUUGCCUGGAGCCCUUUUGGCUCCGCACGCACCCUAAAUAGUGGUAAAAUUCUUAGAUGGCAUAUAGGAAAUUGUAGCAUAUCAACAACUGCCAAUGAAACCAUCCGUUGGCAUGGAGGUGGCUUUACACCCCCUUCCCCUCAUAUGGAAGGGGCCCCAGUGCAAAAUCACCUCUGGAAAUUAGGGGCUGCAUUAAAACCAAUAAAAUUCUGGACAGGAAAGUUAGAGAAUGUGUCAGGAAAACAUAGUAUGACUUGGUACCGUAAUAGUACUCGAGGCCUACAGGCAUGUGUACACCUUCCAUAUCUUUUAUUAAAGGGUCCAGUCCAAUGGAAUCAAACUACUGGGGAAAUAUCUUGUUUUAAUUGUACUUUGUUAACCUGUAUAAAUAACUAUAUACCUUUUAAUCACAAUAGAGAGAGCUUGUAUCUAUUGCGAGCCAGAACAGGAGUAUGGUUACCUGUACAGAUGGAUCUACAAUGGCAGGAAAGUUCUCUAGCUGGAGCUCUCCAAGCCAUUGCGGAAGAAAUAUUGAAGAGGUCAAAAAAAAUUAUUGGCAUGCUAAUCGCUGUAAUUCUUGGGUUAAUUGCUAUAACAGCAACAGCUGCAGCAGCUGGGGUAGCAUUAUAGCGAUCAGUCCAAACUGCUACUUUUGUUCAAGACUGUCAUAAAGAUUCAAAACAGUUAUGGAGUUCUCAACGGAAAAUUGAUAGUGAAAUCAAUGAACAAUUAGCCUAUCUUGAACAAUCAGUAGUUUUAUUGGGGGACCAAAUUGUUAGCCUGCAAAGGCAAUUACAGUUAAAGUGUGAUUGGAACCAUACUGGUUUAUGUGUCACCCCUGUACCUUAUAAUGAAACAGCUUUGCUAUCUUCUCUGUCAUGAUUCAAACCUGCAGCAAAACUAAAAAGGGGGAAAAUGUAGCGGUCAAGCUGAAUGAAGUUAACUAGAAGAGGAUGUUCUGCCAGGAAAAGGCGGGAGCAUGCAAGCAGGCUGCGUCAGAACAAAGUUUUGCACGCAAGACUUAUUGUUCAGAGGCAGAACUUUCCUUGACGUGAUAAAUAGUCCAUAAGGGCAUGGAAAGUUUAAGGGAGGGUGCAUUGCUGCAGGUGGAAAGAGUCUUUGUAUAACAUAGGAAAUUAAUAGUGUAAUGUAUAACUUAGCUUUGAUGAUCUCAUAAGCAUGCCUGUUAAUCAUUGUCACUUGCUGUACUCCAUUGUUGUUUGCUGUGCUCACUUCAAUAAAAGCCAGAAGGCAUCAGAGGGUCCUUGCUACACGCCUGAGCGAGCGGUAGCCCUCUGCUCUACUUCAUCCUACACGCCAA